GUGAUCCUCACUGCUGUUGCAAAAUAGAAUUUAAAACUCAAAUUGUAAUAUGUGUGGUGAAGUAAGGAAAAUGUAUAAGAGGAAGAGGAAUUUAAAUCAUAUUGCGUUUGUUCAUUUUGGAAACAUUACCAACAGGACUUUGUGAAGACUGUUAAGGAGAAAAAGAUAAAUCAGACUACCGCAGUUGCCCAACAUCUCCAGACAGUGACGAAAUUAGAAGCCUGCUUUACAUCUGUAAUUUUUGAAAAGAAAAUUCCAAAGGCUAAAGCAAGACGUCUUGCGUUCUCUGGAUAUGGUUUGAACUUUUUAAGUCUUCCGUUCAAGGGAGAUCGGAACUUUGGUGUAAAAAGUAUUCUACAAGAGCGCGAUUUAAAAAAGAAGAUCAAGGUGUUAUCCAAACUUUUAUUUGGGGCCAAAUGUACAGAGAAAUAGAACUGUUUUAUUGUUCCUGUCAAAUAUUAACUUAAAUAUCUGUCUAUCUGUCUGGCUGAUAUUCUGUUGACUUGUGUUUUAUUAUUGAAUUAAUUUUAUAUACGUAAAUAAUAAAAUUAAUCUUAAUCACCAGUACAAGGUCUUAUUCAUUUAAGUCAAUUUAGUUUGAAACUUCCUUUAUUGUUUAGGU